CCGAGUUACAACUCCCAAACCCAAUGUGAACCAUACCAAACUGUUGCCUCGGCGGGGUCACGCCCCGGGUGCGUCGCAGCCCCGGAACCAGGCGCCCGCCGGAGGGACCAACCAAACUCUUUCUGUAGUCCCCUCGCGGACGUUAUUUCUUACAGCUCUGAGCAAAAAUUCAAAAUGAAUCA
rnacentral:misc_RNA from 1 species